rnacentral:rRNA from 1 species
UGAGUAACCUGCCCUUAACUCUGGGAUAAGCCUGGGAAACUGGGUCUAAUACCGGAUAUGACUCCUCAUCGCAUGGUGGGGGGUGGAAAGCUUUAUUGUGGUUUUGGAUGGACUCGCGGCCUAUCAGCUUGUUGGUGAGGUAAUGGCUCACCAAGGCGACGGCGGGUAGCCGGCCUGAGAGGGUGACCGGCCACACUGGGACUGAGACACGGCCCAGACUCCUACGGGGAGCAG